GGGACCCCAUAGGGACACAUAGGGACCCCAUAGGGAUACAUAGGGACACAUAGGGAUACAUUGGGAGCCCAUAGAGAAGCGCUGCGCAUAUGGAUGGACGCACUGCUGGCCGCCAUCCGCCAGGGGGAGCCCGAGAGCACACAUAGGGAUACAUAGGGACACACUGGGAGCCCAUAGGGAUACAUUGGGACACAUAGAGACCCCAUAGGGACACCAUAGGGACACAUAGGGACCCCAUAGGGACACAUAGGGACACAUAGGGACCCCAUAGGGAC
rnacentral:lncRNA from 1 species